AUUCCAGCUCCAAUAGUGUAUAUUAAAGUUGUUGCAGUUAAAAAGCUCGUAGUUGGAUUUCUGGCGGGAGCGAUCGGUCCUUCACUCAGUGUUGGAACCUGAUUGUCUCCUGCCAUCCAUGGAGAAAACUUAUCUGGCAUUAAGUUGUCGGGUAGGCAAUCUCCAUCUUUUACUGUGAAAAAAUUAGAGUGUUCAAAGCAGGCUUAUGCCGUUGAAUAUAUUAGCAUGGAAUAAUAAGAUAGGACUAUGGUACUAUUUUGUUGGUUUCUAGAAACGAGUAAUGAUUGAUAGGGACAGUUGGGGGUGCUGCUAUUAUAUGGCCAGAGGUGAAAUUCACGGAUUCAUAUAAGAGCAACUUAUGCGAAGGCAUUCACCAAGGAUGUCUUCAUUA
rnacentral:rRNA from 1 species